GCUGGCGGCGUGCCUAAUACAUGCAAGUAGAACGCUGAAGAGAGGAGCUUGCUCUUCUUGGAUGAGUUGCGAACGGGUGAGUAACGCGUAGGUAACCUGCCUUGUAGCGGGGGAUAACUAUUGGAAACGAUAGCUAAUACCGCAUAACAAUGGAUGACACAUGUCAUUUAUUUGAAAGGGGCAAUUGUUCCACUACAAGAUGGACCUGCGUUGUAUUAGCUAGUAGGUGAGGUAAUGGCUCACCUAGGCGACGAUACAUAGCCGACCUGAGAGGGUGAUCGGCCACACUGGGACUGAGACACGGCCCAGACUCCUACGGGAGGCAGCAGUAGGGAAUCUUCGGCAAUGGGGGCAACCCUGACCGAGCAACGCCGCGUGAGUGAAGAAGGUUUUCGGAUCGUAAAGCUCUGUUGUAAGUCAAGAACGGGUGUGAGAGUGGAAAGUUCACACUGUGACGGUAGCUUACCAGAAAGGGACGGCUAACUACGUGCCAGCAGCCGCGGUAAUACGUAGGUCCCGAGCGUUGUCCGGAUUUAUUGGGCGUAAAGCGAGCGCAGGCGGUUUGAUAAGUCUGAAGUUAAAGGCUGUGGCUCAACCAUAGUUCGCUUUGGAAACUGUCAAACUUGAGUGCAGAAGGGGAGAGUGGAAUUCCAUGUGUAGCGGUGAAAUGCGUAGAUAUAUGGAGGAACACCGGUGGCGAAAGCGGCUCUCUGGUCUGUAACUGACGCUGAGGCUCGAAAGCGUGGGGAGCGAACAGGAUUAGAUACCCUGGUAGUCCACGCCGUAAACGAUGAGUGCUAGGUGUUGGAUCCUUUCCGGGAUUCAGUGCCGCAGCUAACGCAUUAAGCACUCCGCCUGGGGAGUACGACCGCAAGGUUGAAACUCAAAGGAAUUGACGGGGGCCCGCACAAGCGGUGGAGCAUGUGGUUUAAUUCGAAGCAACGCGAAGAACCUUACCAGGUCUUGACAUCCCGAUGCUAUUUCUAGAGAUAGAAAGUUACUUCGGUACAUCGGUGACAGGUGGUGCAUGGUUGUCGUCAGCUCGUGUCGUGAGAUGUUGGGUUAAGUCCCGCAACGAGCGCAACCCCUAUUGUUAGUUGCCAUCAUUCAGUUGGGCACUCUAGCGAGACUGCCGGUAAUAAACCGGAGGAAGGUGGGGAUGACGUCAAAUCAUCAUGCCCCUUAUGACCUGGGCUACACACGUGCUACAAUGGUUGGUACAACGAGUUGCGAGUCGGUGACGGCGAGCUAAUCUCUUAAAGCCAAUCUCAGUUCGGAUUGUAGGCUGCAACUCGCCUACAUGAAGUCGGAAUCGCUAGUAAUCGCGGAUCAGCACGCCGCGGUGAAUACGUUCCCGGGCCUUGUACACACCGCCCGUCACACCACGAGAGUUUGUAACACCCGAAGUCGGUGAGGUAACCUUUUGGAGCCAGCCGCCUAAGGUGGGACAGAU
rnacentral:rRNA from 1 species